UAGAUACCCUGGUAGUCCACGCCGUAAAUGUUGGGCACUAGGUGUGGGUCUCUAUCGACGGGAUCCGUGCCGUAGCUAACGCAUUAAGUGCCCCGCCUGGGGAGUACGGCCGCAAGGCUAAAACUCAAAGGAAUUGACGGGGGCCCGCACAAGCGGCGGAGCGUGUGGCUUAAUUCGAUGCAACGCGAAGAACCUUACCUGGGCUUGACAUGUACGGAAAAGCCGGUGAAAGCCGGUGUGCUUCGGCGUC
rnacentral:rRNA from 1 species